rnacentral:lncRNA from 12 species
UAUUUAGGUCCUGCUCUAAGGCUGAUAAACUCAGUGGAGAGGUAGCACUUAGAAGAGAGGAGCUUCCAAUAAGACAGGAAACAGUCUGCUUCAAGAAGAGAGCUGAGAUCCAAAGGAUGAAGGGAUUUUCUCAGGGGAUAAAAAUAAGAACUGAUUGAAGAAAUUACUACAACCAUCUUUACAUUUUUGCCCUUUGGGAUUUUUGAAGCAGUGAUUUAAAGCCUCUGUUAAGGAACUCACACUGAGUAUCAGGGCCUGGAGACCCCACAGAAAGGGACACCCAUGCAUUACCCCUUCCCCAUUUAUCACUCACUGAGCAGGCUGUAGAGGUUACCUCAGUUUACUGGGAUCUCGUGAAGGGAUCUCCAGCACACUUAUUCUCUACCCC